UACAACGUUUGACUUUUUAUCUUAUUUAAAAAAAAUUAUAAUUACUAUUUUUAUUGUUAUUAGAUGAUAAAACUUGAAUAAUACUUUAUGCAUGAUUAUUUUUUUAAUUUUUUUUAAAAAAAAUAAAUAAGACGGAUAGUCAAACUUUGGACAUAAAAAUCCA
rnacentral:pre_miRNA from 1 species